UACGAAGGGGGGCUAGCGUUGCUCGGAAUUACUGGGCGUAAAGCGCACGUAGGCGGCUUUCUAAGUCGGAGGUGAAAUCCUGGAGCUCAACUCCAGAACUGCCUUCGAUACUGGAGCUUGAGUCCGGGAGAGGUGAGUGGAACUGCGAGUGUAGAGGUGAAAUUCGUAGAUAUUCGCAAGAACACCAGUGGCGAAGGCGGCUCACUGGCCCGGGUACUGACGCUGAGGUGCGAAAGCG
rnacentral:rRNA from 1 species